rnacentral:miRNA from 1 species
AUGUAUCGUAGUCUGUUGC